CCCCAGCCCCUGCAACCACCAUUCUGCUGUCUUUAUGAGAUGUGACUCCAUACCUCCUAUAAGUAGAAUCAUACAGUAUUUGUCACUCGUGAUUAGCUGAUUCCAAUGAACAUAAUGCUCUCAAGGUUCAUGCAUGUUGUAGCGUAGUAAAGAAUUUCCUUCCUUUUAUUCCAGUGUAUGGAUGGACCACACUUUGUGUAUCCAUUCACUCUUUGAACACUUACAUUGCUUUACAUAUUUUAACGAUUGUGAAUCAUGCUGCCAUGAACAUGGGUAAACAAGCAUCUCUUGGAGACCCUACUUUCAGUACUUGAAGGGUAUAUACCCAGAAGUGGAAUUGCGGGAGAAUAUGGUAAUUCUUUCAGUUUUCUGAGGAACUACCAUACUGUUUCCACAACUGCUUUACAUCUUACAUCCCUACCAGCAGUGCACAAGGAUUCCAGUUUUUCCACAUCCUUGUCCAUACUUGCUUUCUGGGUUUUUUUUUUUUUUUUUUUUUUUUGAUAAUAGCCAUCCUAAUGUGUGUGAGGUGAUACCUUAUUGUAGUUUUGGUUUGCAUUUCCCUAAUGAUUAGUGAUUCUGAGCAUCUUUUCAUGUGCUUAUUGGCCACUCGUAUGUUUCUUUUCUUUUCUUUUUUUUAUUCAAUAUGAAUUUUUAUUAACACACAUUUUUCAAAGUCUGUACAAAUCAAAACAUUCCUGUGUUUUAAAAGGUCCAUUAUUACAAA